AGUUAAACAAAGCGUAAUAGCUCAAUGUUCGAGUCGGCAUGCGCGGAAGAUGAAACGGGGCUAAACCAUGCAACUAAGCUGCGGCAGCGCACCUCUGUGUUGUUGGGUAGGGGAGCGUUCUGUACGCCUGCGAAGGUGACCUGUGAGGGUUGCUGGAGGUAUCAGAAGUGCGAAUCCUGACAUAAGUAACGAUAAAGCGGGUGAAAAGCCCGCUCUCCGGAAGACCAAGGGUUC
rnacentral:rRNA from 1 species